CCCGCCCCUUCUCCCGGGUGGCGCCCAGGCCAGACACCUCCUGCAAGCCCGGGCUGACGCCGGGGGUGUGCUCAGGACGAGCUCAGGAUGGGCUCAGGACAGGCGAGGGCGGCCGAGACUCCCGGGCCUGCAGGUCGGUGCCGCGUCAGCAGACGGGCUCAUUAGCGGAGUUAACCGUCAGGCAUAACGAGGGGGAAAAGGCUCAAUUUGUAAACAUUUGGUCAAUAUGAAUUAACGCCAACAGGAUGGAUUUGGGACCAGAUUGGACAAUGCCAUUGGCUGCACUGGACGCGCAGCAACAAUAGGUAAAUUAGGUCAUCACUGAAUCAUCAUGAGGAAAAGCGCCUAAUCGGCACCCUCGCUGGUAGAAAGAUUACGGUUAUUUACAAAAACCAUGCUGUUUGCAAAUUUGUGCAAAAUUAUUUGAUCCUAGCAGAGUUUUAUAGAGCUAUCUGCACAUUAUCUCCACCCGAGAUUCCCAGCCCUGCAUAUUAACUAAUGUCUGUGGUUUAAUUGGAAAUAGAACAGGCCACAUUGUAAAUCGCUUUUCUGCCAUCUGUCUCUGUCUCCACACGGGGCCGGAAGUGGAGGACACAGUGAACAGAUGGAUGGCAGGGACCCUGCACCGUCCGGCCCCACCUUACACCCCUCCAGAGCCUCGACCCACCCCUGCACCACCUGGCCCCACCCCACACCCCUCCAGAGCCUUGACCCACCCCUGCACCGCCCGGCCCCACCCCACUCCCCAACAGAGCCUCAACUUACCCCGGUCAUGGCUCGACCCUGACGCCGGCCACAGCCACGGGCACUGGAAAGAACCAGCCUCUGCACAGCCACACACAGGGCUGGGGGCGGCCCUCAGUGGGCUUGAAGCGGCAAUGGGCAGUAGCGUCUUCAGACCUGAAAGUUAAAGAAGGCGACGGAGGCCACGUCUCAGCAACCCACCCUUUGUGGGUCUUUCUUCAAUCAAAUUGACCACUGGAGCAAGGAGGGCGAAAAACGACCAGGAACAAGGCGUCGCCCAGAUGCCAGGGACUCCUGCGAGAUCCUGGGUUACUGCCAGGCCUCAGAACAGCCCAGAGUCACGCUGCAGAGGGGAGGCCCCACGAGCCUACAUGACCCGUUCCCCGGCCGAUGCCCGCCUGGCUCACCAGGUUCCUCACAGUCAUAUUUGCAUGCGUGGACAACCACAACCACAGACGCCUUAACAUAAAAAGCCCACGCAGGCCAGCCCUAGGACAGAUGUGACUGAAGAUCAGGCUCCAAGGGUGACGCUGGGGUUUCCAGUGACAGCCUGAACCCAGUGUUUGGCCCUGUCAGCACUUUUAUUCGGAGUGGAGCUUGGGCUACGGGGGGUGUCCUGAGACGGGGAUGAGAUCUGGAUGAACUGAGAUGAAUUCCGGAAGUUUGGAACCCCCCGAGCUCCUGGUCCCCGUGAGCCUCCCCUGGCAGCAGAAGCGGCCCCUCCCGCCAUCAGAAGGGACCCACCCCCCGUGCUGCCCCCCACACCAGCGCCCCCCGGCUGGCUGCCCUCCCCACACCCAGAAGGAAACUGUCCUGUUUUCCCUGAAUACGCAGCCUGAGGGACAGGAGACCAUGCGAGGACACAGGGAAGCAGUGCGGACGUGGAUUCUGAGGGUGUCACACCAAGGGGGACAGGUCUGGGCUGAAUGUUCCCACUGCCACAGUUGGAGGUGGCUCUCAGAGUUCGCUUGGACUCUAGACUGUGGUGGCCUGAUCCUGUGAGGCUGAGAUGCCACAGCCCCCUGCACCGUGGGAGGAGGAAGCCGGGCCACCUGAGAAGGACGAGGGAGCCCUGGGAGACGGCAGGAGGCGAUCGAAUCAGUCGGCCUCACGUACAGCACAGAAAUGGAGCUGGAGGUUCCAGCGUCUUCGCCUCCAAUCCAGUCGUCUCAUUAAUGCAAUUACGUCUUUUUAUCCUUUCUUCUAUCCUUUCUGGUUUUUUGCUGUUGUUGUCUUU